rnacentral:lncRNA from 1 species
UCUAUAAAGGUGUCCGUGUGAAUGUCAGUGUGUCCCUGUGUCUGUAUGUAUCUGUUUCUAUAUAUGUUUCUGUUCGCGAGUGUCUGUGCAUGUCAGCAUAUGUCUAUGACUAUUGUGUAUGUUUUUCUAUAUAUGUGUCUGUUUCUGUCUCUGUGUGUUUGUUUUUGUGUCUGUGUCUCUCUGUAUAUGUGUGUAUGUCUGUGUGUGUCUGUGCAUCUGUGUGUGUCUGUGAGUGUAUCUGUGUGUUUGUAUGUACCUCUGUGUGUGUGUGUGUGUCUGUAUUUGUCUUUGUGUGUCUGUGUGUGUCAGUAUGUUUCUGUGUCUAUGUAUUUAUCCACGUGUGUCUGUGUGCAUGCCUGUGUGUAUCUGUCUGUGUCUCUGUCUCUUUGUGUUUCUGUCUGUGUGUAUAUGUUAGUGUGUCUCUAUAUCUGUCUGCAAGUGUCAGUGUGUCUCUGCAUGUCUGCAUGUGUGUGUGUCUGAGUGUGUCUCUAUGUCUGUUAACUCUGGGUUAUACCUGUAUUAUCACAUAAAACGUUUUUCCAUAUUAUUCAUUUCUGUAAGUGAAUAAUCAUAUAAAACCCAAAUCCCCCAACAGAUACCCAAAUAAACAAGUGAAAUGUCUGCUUUUAUCUGCA